rnacentral:rRNA from 2 species
AGCAACAAAUGCCCUGCUUCCAGGAAAAGCCUCUAAGCAUCAGGUAACAUCAAAUCGUACCCCAAACCGACACAGGUGGUCAGGUAGAGAAUACCAAGGCGCUUGAGAGAACUCGGGUGAAGGAACUAGGCAAAAUGGUGCCGUAACUUCGGGAGAAGGCACGCUGACACGUAGGUGAAGUGAUUUACUCAUGGAGCUGAAGUCAGUCGAAGAUACCAGCUGGCUGCAACUGUUUAUUAAAAACACAGCACUGUGCAAACACGAAAGUGGACGUAUACGGUGUGACGCCUGCCCGGUGCCGGAAGGUUAAUUGAUGGGGUCAGCGCAAGCGAAGCUCCUGAUCGAAGCCCCGGUAAACGGCGGCCGUAACUAUAACGGUCCUAAGGUAGCGAAAUUCCUUGUCGGGUAAGUUCCGACCUGCACGAAUGGCGUAAUGAUGGCCAGGCUGUCUCCACCCGAGACUCAGUGAAAUUGAACUCGCUGUGAAGAUGCAGUGUACCCGCGGCAAGACGGAAAGACCCCGUGAACCUUUACUAUAGCUUGACACUGAACAUUGAGCCUUGAUGUGUAGGAUAGGUGGGAGGCUUUGAAGUGUGGACGCCAGUCUGCAUGGAGCCGACCUUGAAAUACCACCCUUUAAUGUUUGAUGUUCUAACGUGGACCCGUGAUCCGGGUUGCGGACAGUGUCUGGUGGGUAGUUUGACUGGGGCGGUCUCCUCCUAAAGAGUAACGGAGGAGCACGAAGGUUGGCUAAUCCUGGUCGGACAUCAGGAGGUUAGUGCAAUGGCAUAAGCCAGCUUGACUGCGAGCGUGACGGCGCGAGCAGGUGCGAAAGCAGGUCAUAGUGAUCCGGUGGUUCUGAAUGGAAGGGCCAUCGCUCAACGGAUAAAAGGUACUCCGGGGAUAACAGGCUGAUACCGCCCAAGAGUUCAUAUCGACGGCGGUGUUUGGCACCUCGAUGUCGGCUCAUCACAUCCUGGGGCUGAAGUAGGUCCCAAGGGUAUGGCUGUUCGCCAUUUAAAGUGGUACGCGAGCUGGGUUUAGAACGUCGUGAGACAGUUCGGUCCCUAUCUGCCGUGGGCGCUGGAGAACUGAGGGGGGCUGCUCCUAGUACGAGAGGACCGGAGUGGACGCAUCACUGGUGUUCGGGUUGUCAUGCCAAUGGCACUGCCCGGUAGCUAAAUGCGGAAGAGAUAAGUGCUGAAAGCAUCUAAGCACGAAACUUGCCCCGAGAUGAGUUCUCCCUGAGACUUAAAGUCUCCUGAAGGAACGUUGAAGACGACGACGUUGAUAGGCCGGGUGUGUAAGCGCAGCGAUGCGUUGAGCUAACCGGUACUAAUGAACCGUGAGGCUUAACCUUACAACGCCG